ensembl:lncRNA
GGGAGGGGGGAGAGAGGUGUUCAGGGGGAGAGGGGGAGAGAGGUGUUCAGGGGGAGAGGGGAGGGAGAGAGCAGCACAGGGGAACGUGUGAAAUCAGUCCGUUGUUUGAUCCACUCGGAAAUGAAAAGCAAUGGAAGACACAGGACACAAGACAGGCCCCGGAGGGACGGACACAUCACGGCGAGGCAGAUUGGUGUCGUGCCAAACAUUCACAGUAGCGUCGAGGUGGUUUGUGUUGUUUGUGACAUUCGCAUGCAGAAAUAAAAACGCCUUCGCAGGCGGAGUGCACAUGGGUAUGGAUGGAGCUGCUUUUUCCAUGCCACGCCAAAACAGACACAACAAACAACUAUUGUUCAAGACACAUGGUUACGCAAGGUCUAUCCAACUGUCACAUUAGCUGUGUAAAAGGUGAUAUUUCAGAUAUUGGUAACAUCAAUUAUGUAUUUUUUUAAGAUUAUAUCAUCAUCCUCUUUCAUAUGAAACAUGAACAAAUAUUAAUUUGCUCUCCCUCUCUUAAUCUUAUCACCACUUCCCAUCUUGCAUCCUACUAGUUCUGUAGGAAUGUGUUGCAGUAUUGUAGACCACCAGAUGGGGGCACUACUGCACAACUAAUUGACUACCGAAACACUUUCUAUCUAUGCUGUGUCUGAACUGGAGAGGCCGGUUUUAAUGAGAUGGAGAGCGAGCGAAGCAGCCAGUUGGAUAUGACAUCGGGCAUUGGACCAUUUGGAAGUGCACACAAUAAUCACGGCUGCAUGCAAUCUGUAUAAGACAAUAAAAAAAUAAGGCACGUCACGAUAAACCGAUCAAAUAAAGACUCAAAGCACAGGACAAUCUCCAGCAAGCGGGUACUGAGUCACACAUCAUUCUACCGACUCCCAACGACUCUGAGGAUGCACUGACCAAUGCAGAAACCAAUGAGACACUGAGAACAACGAUGGGCAAUGGAGUCUCACAACGAAUAACUCUUGUCUUAUCAACCACGGUGUAACACGCAUACAUGACCACACACUGAUGAACUCCAGAGAGAUGCCUACAACAGUCCUCAUUGGACCAAUCCCAUGUAUAUAUCGAUAUGAUUGUUUCCAAAUAAAUGAUUUUAAUGCCACUGGUGAUUUUGUGUGAUCGGGGGACAUUUAAAAGUAAUGACGUUUAAAUAAAUGAUCCGGAGGUAAAUAAAAAAGGCACAAUAAAUAUCUUGAAGGACAACCAUUUACCAGGAUACAGCUUUCCAUGACGUGUAGGUGCGGGGACAGAUUUUGACUUUCCCUGUUUGCUAGUGUCUCAUCGCCGAUUACCGAGUCAUGUAAGCAGUGAACCAGACCAAACUGUUAAGAGAAUAAUGUCAUUGAGGUGUGAAUACAAAUGCACUGCAUAGAUGUCGACAUGAAACAUAGACCUGUGUGACACACACCACCACUGCCACUAGAUUCCUAUCUCUGACGACCAAACGGUCCAUUACCCAACAGGCUUCAGAAAGCAUGUGACCCCCCC